rnacentral:rRNA from 1 species
UACAUGGGGUGCAAACGUUGCUCGGAAUCAUUGGGCGUAAAGCGCGCGUAGGCGGUUACUUAAGUUGGAUGUGAAAGCCCUCGGCUUAACCGAGGAAGUGCAUCCAAAACUGAGUAGCUAGAGUACGAAAGAGGGUCGCGGAAUUCCCGGUGUAGAGGUGAAAUUCGUAGAUAUCAGGAGGAACACCAAUUGCGAAGGCAGCUCGCUGGGACGUUACUGACGCUGAGACGCGAAAGCGUGGGGAGCAAACAGGAU